rnacentral:lncRNA from 1 species
GAGUCAGCAGCCUUAACUGGCAUGGCUCUUGCUGAUCGUGUAAGCAAAUAAUAUGAUUUUCAUUUGCUUGCUUGGUUUUAUUUAUUUAUUUUUUUUAUAUUAAUCACAAGGUAUUUUGGAGAGGGCCCCAAUUGUGGGAGGCACUUUUAAGUCCGUACCACAAUCCAGACUAAAAGUCAUCGCUCGAACCGGGAGGCACAAGUUCUCCCAACAAAGGCAACUUCCCUGCGACUCGAAUUGGGGAGCAAACCCAGUCAAGCCACUUAAGGGGACUCCAUUUAUAUAGCUUCAAAUAAAUCUGGGACUUGACAUUCAUUUUUCACUGUUCUACAAUGUUAUAAACCUGGUUUACAACAUAGUAAAAGUUUGUUUACAAUUUUGUAAACACGUCCCAAACUCUAAUACAAUCCAAAAUUCUUAGAUUAGUAAGUUCUCUUGUAUAUAUAUAUUGAGAUCUGAUCAGAUAGGCGAUCUCACUCUCCCAGAUCCAACAUAAUCAGCCUCAUCUUGAAGAGAGCUGUGCAGCUUUUUGCUUCCUACCGCACGGCUCUUUCUCGCACGCUUUUGGAGAGCGAGAUAUAUCGCCCACCUGAUCAAAGUCCUAUAUCUGUGUGUGCGCGCGCGUGUGAUGAUCGACAAUUAAUAUCAAGUAAAAUGAUAUGUAACACAACAUUUAUAUUCCUAUAUGGGGGCAUUUAAACAUGAACUUGUAUACUUGGCAUCAAUUUAGUUUGAGAUAUCAGGGAAGGAAUUUCAAAAAUAAGCUGGAAGCUUGAUUAUUCAUAUAUAAAUAAUGUGAUCUACAUCGAUUGCAGAUUAUUUAGGAAGUGGUGGAGUUCGUACUAAGCAGUUAACAUGGACUAAAUUGUUGUUUCGUCUGACAUAUUGUUAGCUCAGGCAAUAGUAAUGAACUUGAGAGUGGCAGUUUUUGAAAUCUUUUGUACAUAUAUACGAGUUGUUUCGAGAUUCUGUGGACAUUCUUUCUUCUAAUUUUAAUCUUUGCAUCACAAUUUUAAUAUCCUUGUUUCUUGAAUCAAACUUUGUUGCUGCAG